rnacentral:rRNA from 1 species
CUGAUGUUAGCGGCGGACGGGUGAGUAACACGUGGGUAACCUGCCUGUAAGACUGGGAUAACUCCGGGAAACCGGGGCUAAUACCGGAUGCUUGAUUGAACCGCAUGGUUCAAUUAUAAAAGGUGGCUUUUAGCUACCACUUACAAAUGGACCCGCGGCGCAUUACCUAGUUGGUGAGGUAACGGCUCACCAAGGCAACAAUGCGUAGCCAACCUGAAAGGGUGAUCGGCCACACUGGGACUGAAACACGGCCCAAACUCCUACGGGA